rnacentral:antisense_RNA from 1 species
CUUCAUGGCGGGCGGUGCGUGGGGAUUCCCGGGAAUCCGCCGGAGUUUCCAUCCAUCUGGGAGUUGUCCGGUACGCCAACCCGCACCGUCCGCCACCUUG